UAAUGGGUCAGCGACUUAUAUUCUGUAGCAAGGUUAACCGAAUAGGGGAGCCGAAGGGAAACCGAGUCUUAACUGGGCGUUAAGUUGCAGGGUAUAGACCCGAAACCCGGUGAUCUAGCCAUGGGCAGGUUGAAGGUUGGGUAACACUAACUGGAGGACCGAACCGACUAAUGUUGAAAAAUUAGCGGAUGACUUGUGGCUGGGGGUGAAAGGCCAAUCAAACCGGGAGAUAGCUGGUUCUCCCCGAAAGCUAUUUAGGUAGCGCCUCGUGAAUUCAUCUCCGGGGGUAGAGCACUGUUUCGGCAAGGGGGUCAUCCCGA
rnacentral:rRNA from 1 species